rnacentral:rRNA from 1 species
AGCGUAGGUGGUGCGGUAAGCCCUCCGGGAAAGCUUCAGGCUUAACCUGAAAAGGUCGGGGGGGACUGCCGCGCUAGAGGACGGGAGAGGAGCGCGGAAUUCCCGGUGUAGCGGUGGAAUGCGUAGAGAUCCGGAAGAACACCGGUGGCGAAGGCGGUCUGCUGGGCAGUUGCUGACACUGAUGCGCGACAGCGUGGGGAACAAACA